CGAAGAACCUUACCAAGGCUUGACAUGGACCGGAUCGCCGCAGAAAUGUGGUUUCUCCUUUGGGGCCGGUUCACAGGUGGUGCAUGGUUGUCGUCAGCUCGUGUCGUGAGAUGUUGGGUUAAGUCCCGCAACGAGCGCAACCCUCGUUCCAUGUUGCCAGCACGUAGUGGUGGGGACUCAUGGGAGACUGCCGGGGUCAACUCGGAGGAAGGUGGGGACGACGUCAAAUCAUCAUGCCCCUUAUGUCUUGGGCUUCACGCAUGCUACAAUGGCCGGUACAAAGGGUUGCGAUACUGUGAGGUGGAGCUAAUCCCAAAAAGCCGGUCCCAGUUCGGAUUGGGGUCUGCAACUCGACCCCAUGAAGUCGGAGUCGCUAGUAAUCGCAGAUCAGCAACGCUGCGGUGAAUACGUUCCCGGGUCUUGUACACACCGA
rnacentral:rRNA from 1 species